rnacentral:rRNA from 1 species
AACGAACGCUGGCGGCAGGCUUAACACAUGCAAGUCGAACGGGCGUAGCAAUACGUCAGUGGCAGACGGGUGAGUAACACGUGGGAACCUUCCUAGAGGUACGGAACAACUCAGGGAAACUUGAGCUAAUACCGUAUAAGCUCGUGAGAGGAAAGAUUCAUCGCCUUUAGACGGGCCCGCGUCGGAUUAGGUAGUUGGUGGGGUAACGGCCUACCAAGCCGACGAUCCGUAGCUGAUCUUAGAGGAUGAUCAGCCACACUGGGACUGAGACACGGCCCAGACUCCUACGGGAGGCAGCAGUGGGGAAUCUUGGACAAUGGGCGCAAGCCUGAUCCAGCCAUGCCGCGUGAGUGAAGAAGGCCUUAGGGUUGUAAAGCUCUUUUGGCAGGGACGAUAAUGACGGUACCUGCAGAAUAAGCCCCGGCAAACUUCGUG